rnacentral:rRNA from 1 species
AGAGUUUGAUCUUGGCUCAGGACGAACGCUGGCGGCGUGCUUAAUACAUGCAAGUCGAGCGAGCUUGCCUAGAUGAUUUUAGUGCUUGCACUAAAUGAAACUAGAUACAAGCGAGCGGCGGACGGGUGAGUAACACGUGGGUAACCUGCCCAAGAGACUGGGAUAACACCUGGAAACAGAUGCUAAUACCGGAUAACAACACUAGACGCAUGUCUAGAGUUUGAAAGAUGGUUCUGCUAUCACUCUUGGAUGGACCUGCGGUGCAUUAGCUAGUUGGUAAGGUAACGGCUUACCAAGGCAAUGAUGCAUAGCCGAGUUGAGAGACUGAUCGGCCACAUUGGGACUGAGACACGGCCCAAACUCCUACGGGAGGCAGCAGUAGGGAAUCUUCCACAAUGGACGAAAGUCUGAUGGAGCAACGCCGCGUGAGUGAAGAAGGGUUUCGGCUCGUAAAGCUCUGUUGGUAGUGAAGAAAGAUAGAGGUAGUAACUGGCCUUUAUUUGACGGUAAUUACUUAGAAAGUCACGGCUAACUACGUGCCAGCAGCCGCGGUAAUACGUAGGUGGCAAGCGUUGUCCGGAUUUAUUGGGCGUAAAGCGAGUGCAGGCGGUUCAAUAAGUCUGAUGUGAAAGCCUUCGGCUCAACCGGAGAAUCGCAUCAGAAACUGUUGAACUUGAGUGCAGAAGAGGAGAGUGGAACUCCAUGUGUAGCGGUGGAAUGCGUAGAUAUAUGGAAGAACACCAGUGGCGAAGGCGGCUCUCUGGUCUGCAACUGACGCUGAGGCUCGAAAGCAUGGGUAGCGAACAGGAUUAGAUACCCUGGUAGUCCAUGCCGUAAACGAUGAGUGCUAAGUGUUGGGAGGUUUCCGCCUCUCAGUGCUGCAGCU